UACCGCGUGUGUGAAGAAGGCCCGAGGGUUGUAAAGCACUUUCAAUUGUGAGGAAGAUAGUGUCGCUAAUAUCGGCAUUGUUUGACGUUAACUUUAGAAGAAGCACCGGCUAACUCUGUGCCAGCAGCCGCGGUAAUACAGAGGGUGCAAGCGUUAUUCGGAAUUACUGGGCGUAAAGCGCGCGUAGGCGGGCUAUUAAGUCAGUUGUGAAAGCCCUGGGCUCAACCUGGGAACUGCAUCUGAUACUGGUAGUCUAGAGUUUAAGAGAGGGAAGUGGAAUUCCAGGUGUAGCAGUGAAAUGCGUAGAUAUCUGGAGGAACAUCAGUGGCGAAGGCGACUUCCUGGCUUAAAACUGACGCUGAGGUGCGAAAGCGUGGGUAGCGAACGGGAUUAGAUACCCCGGUAGUCCACGCCGUAAACGAUGUCAACUAGUUGUUGGUCUUAUUAAAAAGAUUAGUAACGAAGCUAACGCGAUAAGUUGACCGCCUGGGGAGUACGGUCGCAAGAUUAAAAC
rnacentral:rRNA from 1 species